AGGAGUUUAGGAUUAUCCAAACCAUAGACCUUCAAAGUCUAAAAAAAAGGUGCAAACCCUCUAACUCCUG
rnacentral:tRNA from 7 species